CUGAGAGGGUGAUCGGCCACACUGGAACUGAGACACGGUCCAGACUCCUACGGGAGGCAGCAGUAGGGAAUCUUCCGCAAUGGGCGAAAGCCUGACGGAGCAACGCCGCGUGAGUGAUGAAGGUCUUCGGAUCGUAAAACUCUGUUAUUAGGGAAGAACAUAUGUGUAAGUAACUGUGCACAUCUUGACGGUACCUAAUCAGAAAGCCACGGCUAACUACGUGCCAGCAGCCGCGGUAAUACGUAGGUGGCAAGCGUUAUCCGGAAUUAUUGGGCGUAAAGCGCGCGUAGGCGGUUUUUUAAGUCUGAUGUGAAAGCCCACGGCUCAACCGUGGAGGGUCAUUGGAAACUGGAAAACUUGAGUGCAGAAGAGGAAAGUGGAAUUCCAUGUGUAGCGGUGAAAUGCGCAGAGAUAUGGAGGAACACCAGUGGCGAAGGCGACUUUCUGGUCUGUAACUGACGCUGAUGUGCGAAAGCGUGGGGAUC
rnacentral:rRNA from 1 species